GAAGGUGCUGACUCAAUAGACUUCCCAAUUGCUAGGUGUCUCGUCCAACACCUCUUUGAAGAUGAUUGGUCAGCCAGAGAGACAAAGGAUAGGGAGAUGUGGAGCCUUCAAUAAAUCCUGCAGUGAAGUUGCAUUGGGACAUUGACAGGACGCAGAGCUGGGCUGGAAGUGGCAGAUGGAGUCCAAUCUGGAAAAGUGUGAAGUGAUUCAUUCUGGAAGGUACUCAGGAAAGUCCUGACUCAAUAGCCUUCACAGCUGCGGGGUAGAUGUUCCAUCACCACAUUGAAGAUGGUUGGUCUGCCAGAGAGAGACAAAGGGCAGGGAAAUCUGGAGCCUUCAAUAAAUCCUGUAGUGAGGUAUUCCUGAUGUCCCUGACUCAGCAGAAUUCCCAAUUCCUGUCUCGUCCAUCACCACAUUGAAGACGGUUGGUCAGCCGGAGAGAGAUGGAGAGUGAGAUCUGGAUCCUUCAGUAAAUCCUG